GCAUUGGUGGUUCAGUGGUGGAAUUCUUGUCUGCCACGUUGGAGACCCGGGUCCGAUACCCGGCCAAUGCA
rfam:Danio rerio chromosome 4, GRCz11 reference primary assembly.